CAAUAGCGUAUAUUUAAGUUGUUGCAGUUAAAAAGCUCGUAGUUGGAUUUCGGUUAAGAGCGACCGGUCCGCCGUUUGGUGUGCACUGGUUGGUUUUAACUUCCUGUAGAGGACGUGCUCUGGGUUUAACGACCUGGACUCGGAGUCUACGUGGUUACUUUGAAAAAAUUAGAGUGUUCAAAGCGGGCUUACGCUUGAAUAUUUCAGCAUGGAAUAACACUAUAGGACUCCUGUCCUAUUUCGUUGGUCUCGGGACGGGAGUAAUGAUUAAGAGGAACAGUUGGGGGCAUUCGUAUUUCAUUGUCAGAGGUGAAAUUCUUGGAUUUAUGAAAGACGAACUUCUGCGAAAGCAUUUGCCAAGGAUGGUUUCAUUAA
rnacentral:rRNA from 1 species